rnacentral:rRNA from 1 species
UGCUGGAGGUAUCAGAAGUGCGAAUGCUGACAUAAGUAACGAUAAAGCGGGUGAAAAGCCCGCUCGCCGGAAGACCAAGGGUUCCUGUCCAACGUUAAUCGGGGCAGGGUGAGUCGACCCCUAAGGCGAGGCCGAAAGGCGUAGUCGAUGGGAAACGGGUUAAUAUUCCCGUACUUGGUGUUACUGCGAAGGGGGGACGGAGAAGGCUAUGUUGGCCGGGCGACGGUUGUCCCGGUUUAAGCGUGUAGGUGUGUGUUCCAGGUAAAUCCGGUUCACUUUAACACUGAGGCGUGAUGACGAGGCACUACGGUGCUGAAGCAACAAAUGCCCUGCUUCCAGGAAAAGCCUCUAAGCAUCAGGUAACAUCAAAUCGUACCCCAAACCGACACAGGUGGUCAGGUAGAGAAUACCAAGGCGCUUGAGAGAACUCGGGUGAAGGAACUAGGCAAAAUGGUGCCGUAACUUCGGGAGAAGGCACGCUGACACGUAGGUGAAGUGAUUUACUCAUGGAGCUGAAGUCAGUCGAAGAUACCAGCUGGCUGCAACUGUUUAUUAAAAACACAGCACUGUGCAAACACGAAAGUGGACGUAUACGGUGUGACGCCUGCCCGGUGCCGGAAGGUUAAUUGAUGGGGUCAGCGCAAGCGAAGCUCCUGAUCGAAGCCCCGGUAAACGGCGGCCGUAACUAUAACGGUCCUAAGGUAGCGAAAUUCCUUGUCGGGUAAGUUCCGACCUGCACGAAUGGCGUAAUGAUGGCCAGGCUGUCUCCACCCGAGACUCAGUGAAAUUGAACUCGCUGUGAAGAUGCAGUGUACCCGCGGCAAGACGGAAAGACCCCGUGAACCUUUACUAUAGCUUGACACUGAACAUUGAGCCUUGAUGUGUAGGAUAGGUGGGAGGCUUUGAAGUGUGGACGCCAGUCUGCAUGGAGCCGACCUUGAAAUACCACCCUUUAAUGUUUGAUGUUCUAACGUGGACCCGUUAUCCGGGUUGCGGACAGUGUCUGGUGGGUAGUUUGACUGGGGCGGUCUCCUCCUAAAGAGUAACGGAGGAGCACGAAGGUUGGCUAAUCCUGGUCGGACAUCAGGAGGUUAGUGCAAUGGCAUAAGCCAGCUUGACUGCGAGCGUGACGGCGCGAGCAGGUGCGAAAGCAGGUCAUAGUGAUCCGGUGGUUCUGAAUGGAAGGGCCAUCGCUCAACGGAUAAAAGGUACUCCGGGGAUAACAGGCUGAUACCGCCCAAGAGUUCAUAUCGACGGCGGUGUUUGGCACCUCGAUGUCGGCUCAUCACAUCCUGGGGCUGAAGUAGGUCCCAAGGGUAUGGCUGUUCGCCAUUUAAAGUGGUACGCGAGCUGGGUUUAGAACGUCGUGAGACAGUUCGGUCCCUAUCUGCCGUGGGCGCUGGAGAACUGAGGGGGGCUGCUCCUAGUACGAGAGGACCGGAGUGGACGCAUCACUGGUGUUCGGGUUGUCAUGCCAAUGGCACUGCCCGGUAGCUAAAUGCGGAAGAGAUAAGUGCUGAAAGCAUCUAAGCACGAAACUUGCCCCGAGAUGAGUUCUCCCUGAGACUU